rnacentral:rRNA from 1 species
GACGAACGCUGGCGGCGUGCUUAACACAUGCAAGUCGAACGGAAAGGCCCCUUUGGGGGUACUCGAGUGGCGAACGGGUGAGUAACACGUGAGUAACCUGCCCUUGACUUCGGGAUAACUUCAGGAAACUGGGGCUAAUACCGGAUAGGAAUCCUUGCUGCAUGGUGGGGGUUGGAAAGCUUCGGCGGUUUUGGAUGGACUCGCGGCUUAUCAGCUUGUUGGUGGGGUAGUGGCUUACCAAGGCUUUGACGGGUAGCCGGCCUGAGAGGGCGACCGGCCACAGUGGGACUGAGAUACGGCCCAGACUCCUACGGGAGGCAGCAGGGGGGAAUAUUGCACAAUGGGCGGAAGCCGGAUGCAGCAACGCCGCGGGCGGGAGGACGGCCUUCGGGUUGGAAACCGCGUUCAGCAGGGGCGAAGCUUGUGGUGACGGUACCUGCAGAAGAAGCACCGGCUAACUACGUG